rnacentral:lncRNA from 1 species
UUAGCAAGUUAUUAGUAAGUUCUGAGUUACGCUAACAUGAGCUCUCGGGGCGCGUUAGUAUUGGGAGUUUCUUUGUGUGUUAGGGAGCGGGUCAGGGGUACCUCUAUGGGUUCUUAAAGUCAGGAGGCAGUGAGUUUCCUUUUUUUUGUAUGUUACACGCUAUCUGAUUGGAUUUCUCCGUUUCCGUUUCUUGUUUCAACUCCUAUAACUUAUAUCAGCAGCCGAACCCAACACUUUUGUACUUGACUUCUAGCCUAAAGCUUUCUGAAUGGAAUCUAUCUAUCUUGCAGCACUACUCAUUGAAUGGAAUCUAUCUUGCUGCACCACUCAUUGAAUGGAAUCUAUCUUGCUGCACCCACUCAUAUAAGCAAGUAAACAACCAGUAUUGCUUCAAGACUGACUAUCUCUGCCCGGCCCGAACACAAUAAGCGUUAGCGUCCCGAAACUCCCAUUAGCGUGAAAGGGCUGUCUUUCUGAACUCACGUUAGUGCUUAGGAACGUCGUUUGCUAGUGGAAUUGAGUGAAAAAUCAUACAUAAGAGAAUAUAGGCAGCAGAACCGCAUACUAUAGUACUUGUUCCGUUGCUUUAAUAAACACGGAUUUAUUGGCUGCCGCCCGCCAGGUCGACCCGGACUCAAUUGCUAGAAUGUUCCCUUGCUUGAAAUUACUCUCUUAGGGGGGCCCUUACUUUGGUUGUUCGGUUGCUAGUUUAGUUUACGCGUUAGUUAGUUGUUCGGUUGCUAGUUUAGUUUACGCGUUAGUUAGUUGUUCGGUUGCUUCUUCACUCCUUACUUGACUCUAAGCUCUAACCCAUAUAUUACUCCUAAUACAAAGCUCCUAAACACACUUUUUGCCAUUAAUGAAGCUGUCGGCAAAAGAAGAGAAUUGCUUUAGGCACCCACCCGCUCUGCUCACUUAAGCGUUAGCGCGUUGCUUUAAGGAUGGAAUUUGGUGCAUAGUUCCGUUGCUUAUAGAAUGGAGUGAGGCCUUGCUUCCUAAGAUAUAUUAGAUGGGCAUAGAACAAGCAGUAAUGUACAGUAUUCAAAUCAAAUAAGUGAGACAGAUUCUAUAAUUGAUGAAAAACACUGCAUAUAUAUUAAGAGAAUCAGAUAAGUCAAAUGGAUUCUGAGAAAUAAGUCAGAUGACUCUAGUAACUCACAACACUGAAAGUUCGGCUGUCUCAAUAGACUUGGAAAUUGGAUUAAUCACACCGCUAAAGCUUCUGCACUAGCUAGUCUGUCUUGUCUUGAGGAUGAGGAGGUGGCUUGUCCAGCAGUUUAGGUCCUGUGCUCUCCCUUAUUUCAAAAGGGAGGGGUCGCGGGGCCCAGAGCGACUAUGCCCGGAUGUUUGGCGCAUCGAUAAGAGAGAGGCUAUCCUAUCCCAUGACUCAUUGUAAAAGGACCUAUAAGCAAAUAGCUAAGAAGAAACACUAGUAAAUCCCGCUCUUCCUGACCAGAAGUCUUGAAUCCUGUAUAGGACUUACUGCUUCAACUAAAGAGGAGGAUUUGUGCUUCUGGAGUGACCGCUUCAACUAAAGAGGAGGAUUUGUGCUUCCGGAGUGACCAUCCCGUCCCGCCAAUCCAAAGCCCCUUAAUAAUCUUGCUAUAUGGAGCCACCUUCUGAACCUCGACAUGCUUCUUUCCCAUUCUACAUAUCCUAAAAAGUAGGGGACCACGGCAUCCCCGAGCAACCACAAUAGUCCCGCAACCGACUUUAUGAAUUAAUGUAAGCUGUCUCAUCUCGUGUCCGUUGCUCCCGUACAAACUCAGGAAUGUCAUUCAGGUGAAGCAUCUUAUUUCUUACGGCCUGUCAUAAUGGUUACGCAGUGAUCUCGAACAUGACUUUAUUCUCAUGGAGAAAAGGGUUGAUUACUGCUCUUAUCUAGAGUAUAAUCUGGAAUGUUUAGUUCAUUAGGUCCUUCCUGACUCUCCCCUUUAGUUCAUUAGGUCCUUCCUGACUCUCCCCAUCCUUCCUAAGUUCUUACGCUCACUUUGAUUUCGCUCCUUCUCCUCUUACGGUAUAGCUUCCGGAUCAAGGGCUGGGCUCCAAACUUCUGAAUUUGGGGGCGAUCUCUCUUUGGGCGCGUCGCCUCUAAAGAGUCAAGCCUCCACUGAACUAAACUAUGUCUCCCCUUCCCUUCCAUAAGCGAGUCUCUCCCUUGAGUUAGACUUUUGCAUUUCACCAAGUCUUCGAUCAGAUACUCCCUGGUCAAAAGAUACUCAACUUGUUAGGAAGCCUUUAUUACUAAUCUUGCUUCCGAUAACGGGUUCGACUUCUCAUAUUUUCAUGAAUUACCAAUCACAUACCCUAACCCUUACUUAUUGCCUUCCCUCUUCCUUAGUCCCUUAUUUGGAUAUUUGGAAUGACUUUCCCUAAUGACUUUCCUCAAACCCUUUACUGCUCUUUCAAGGGCCGAUACUACUUGGCGGAACUACUACCAUGCCUCUAAAGAGUCUGACAUUGGACAAGACCCCGCGUAAGUCAUUAAUGCCACCCCUAGAAUCAGAUAAGUAAGGACUGCUGCUAGCGACAGGAAGUGAUGAACUUGCGCGUCAGGGACAUGCCACUGGCCCAAUUGACAAGGCAUAGGAAGCGAGUCCAGGGGGCCAAGCUACUGCUCA